rnacentral:rRNA from 1 species
UUCGGAUCGUAAAGCUCUGUUGCCAGGGAAGAACGCUUGGGAGAGUAACUGCUCUCAAGGUGACGGUACCUGAGAAGAAAGCCCCGGCUAACUACGUGCCAGCAGCCGCGGUAAUACGUAGGGGGCAAGCGUUGUCCGGAAUUAUUGGGCGUAAAGCGCGCGCAGGCGGUCAUUUAAGUCUGGUGUUUAAUCCCGGGGCUCAACCCCGGAUCGCACUGGAAACUGGGUGACUUGAGUGCAGAAGAGGAGAGUGGAAUUCCACGUGUAGCGGUGAAAUGCGUAGAUAUGUGGAGGAACACCAGUGGCGAAGGCGACUCUCUGGGCUGUAACUGACGCUGAGGCGCGAAAGCGUGGGGAGCAAACAGGAUUAGAUACCCUGGUAGUCCACGCCGUAAACGAUGAGUGCUAGGUGUUAGGGGUUUCGAUACCCUUGGUGCCGAAGUUAACACAUUAAGCACUCCGCCU